AUUGAACGCUGGCGGCAGGCCUAACACAUGCAAGUCGAACGAGUGGCGGACGGGUGAGUAAUGUCUGGGACACUGCCUGAUGGUGGGGGAUAACUACUGGCAACGGUAGCUAAUACCGCAUACCAUCGGAUGUGCCCAGAUGGGAUUGGCUAGUAGGUGGGUUAAAGGCUCACCUAGGCGACGAUCCCUAGCUGGUCUGUGAGGAUGACCAGGCAAACUGGAACUGAGACACGGGCCAGACUCCUACGGGAGGUAGCGGAGGGGAAUAUUGCACAAUGGGAGCAAGCUUGAUGCAGCCAUGCCGCGUGGGUGAAGAAGGCAUUCGGGUUGUAAAGCACUUUCAGCGAGGAGGCGUUACUAGAAGAAGAAGCACCGGCUAACUCCGUGCCAGCAGCCGCGGUAAUUC
rnacentral:rRNA from 1 species